GAUGAACGCUGGCGGCGUGCUUAACACAUGCAAGUCGAACGAUGAAGCCCAGCUUGCUGGGUGGAUUAGUGGCGAACGGGUGAGUAACACGUGAGUAACCUGCCCUUAACUCUGGGAUAAGCCUGGGAAACUGGGUCUAAUACCGGAUAGGAGCGCCUACCGCAUGGUGGGUGUUGGAAAGAUUUAUCGGUUUUGGAUGGACUCGCGGCCUAUCAGCUUGUUGGUGAGGUAAUGGCUCACCAAGGCGACGACGGGUAGCCGGCCUGAGAGGGUGACCGGCCACACUGGGACUGAGACACGGCCCAGACUCCUACGGGAGGCAGCAGUGGGGAAUAUUGCACAAUGGGCGAAAGCCUGAUGCAGCGACGCCGCGUGAAGGAUGACGGCCUUCGGGUUGUAAACCUCUUUCAGUAGGGAAGAAGCGAAAGUGACGGUACCUGCAGAAGAAGCACCGGCUAACUACGUG
rnacentral:rRNA from 1 species